rnacentral:rRNA from 1 species
GCGUAAAGCGCACGCAGGCGGUCUGUCAAGUCGGAUGUGAAAUCCCCGGGCUCAACCUGGGAACUGCAUUCGAAACUGGCAGGCUUGAGUCUUGUAGAGGGGGGUAGAAUUCCAGGUGUAGCGGUGAAAUGCGUAGAGAUCUGGAGGAAUACCGGUGGCGAAGGCGGCCCCCUGGACAAAGACUGACGCUCAGGUGCGAAAGCGUGGGGAGCAAACAGGAUUAGAUACCCUGGUAGUCCACGCCGUAAACGAUGUCUACUUGGAGGUUGUGCCCUUGAGGCGUGGCUUCCGGAGCUAACGCGUUAAGUAGACC